rnacentral:rRNA from 1 species
UACAGAGGUCUCAAGCGUUGUUCGGAUUCAUUGGGCGUAAAGGGCGCGUAGGCGGCAAGGCAAGUCGGGUGUGAAAGCUUGGGGCUUAACCCCGAAAGGGCACUCGAAACUGCCCUGCUAGAGGGCCGGAGAGGAGAUCGGAAUUCACGGUGUAGCAGUGAAAUGCGUAGAGCUCGUGAGGAAGACCGGUGGCGAAGGCGGAUCUCUGGACGGCCCCUGACGCUGAGGCGCGAAGGCCAGGGGAGCAAAGCGGGG